CUGGAAUAAAAGGUGUCACCACAACUUUGAUAUGUGAAAGUGAACACUGAUGUUUGUCACUCAAGUGAAAGGCUCUAAGGGAAGACCGCAAACAAGUGGUUUAAGAAUUUCCUCCAAAAAAGCUUUGCAUUUAAUAAAUUGGUUUGUACGUUAGCCACAACUAUGAAUUGUCAACAUGACUGACCUGUGAUAAGAAUGUAAUCAGCAGGGCGCAAAUACCCUUUCAAGUUUUAUACCAUAAUUACAGUGAGAGAGGGCGGAAAAUGGAGAAACAUAAAUAAAAAUGAAUCAAUCAAUCAAUCAAUAGACAGCAGCUGUGAACGAGAAGUUUUCAACUCCCCACGGAAAUUCACAGUGAAAUACAUCAAAUUUGUGUGUCACCAGCAGCCACCACUGAAUUUUCCUGUAAAUCUAUUAUGCAAAAAAAAGAAUUUCUUUUAAUAUCUAAAAUUUCCUGGAAAACAAGGCACCCCAAAAUGGCACACCCAAAUGAAACCGGAGUUUACCCAAAGUUUAUUGUUCAACUGUCACGACAAUCCAACUAGUGCUCGUCAUCAAUCGCCAUCGCCAUCACCAACCACAUGUGGUAAACAAAUGACCCCGAGA